rnacentral:rRNA from 1 species
AUGAGUGGCGAACGGGUGAGUAACACGUGAGUAACCUGCCUCUUCUUUGGGAUAACGCCCGGAAACGGGUGCUAAUACUGGAUAUUCACUGAUCUUCGCAUGGGGGUUGGUGGAAAGGUUUUUUCUGGUGGGGGAUGGGCUCGCGGCCUAUCAGCUUGUUGGUGGGGUGAUGGCCUACCAAGGCUUUGACGGGUAGCCGGCCUGAGAGGGUGACCGGUCACAUUGGGACUGAGAUACGGCCCAG